UUCUUUCUAUUCUUUCUUUGUUGUCGGGAAAGGAGGCCUCUUGUUUUUUUGGGUGGGGGGAAGCCUUUCUUGAAGGCCUUUUGGCUGUUGGAACUUUCCUAAUUGUUGGUGUUGAUUGACAGCUAGCCUAGUACUAGAGGGAAGACACGUGACUGAUGUUAAACGGAUGCCAAGAGAAGAGAUGAUAUCCUAAAUAAUCAAUACAACUAGUAGUAGAGGGACUUCAGCUACAUCCUCACUUGCAAAGGAAAUGUAGGUACUUUGGCUUAAAUGGACACGUAUCAGAUCUUUGCGGAACACGUUGGAUAUUGUAGUGAAGGAAAGCAAGGACACUGCAUGCAAGAACAUUCCUGUGUCAUCAGUGAAGUCGGGACCAUGUGACCAUUCAUCCCCCCUCCUGCCAAAUCCAUAAAAUCUUGAAGUCUGAGGAACUUAUAAAGCUUCUACCUGAGUGUUGAGGAACUUAUAAAGCUUGUGCCUAAGUGUUGGUUUACUUGUUACUAAGUGAAUUAAAUUGUCAUAGUUGAAACCAAAAAAGUUGCUGAAAUUUGGAGUACAUGCCAUGCCACCAUUUGUGCUUUGAGAAAAUUUGGUUUAUUGAAACUUACUUUCUCUUAUUGUCUGGCUUUGCAUUUCUCAUCCUAUUACCAUAUAUUUCUGCAUAUAAGACAACCUUUAAAUCUCAAAAUUCACCCCUAAAAAUUGGGAGAAGUCUUAACUCUACCACUAUAAAAAUCCGAUCUUGAAUUCUAAGUGAUGUUUAUUGGUUGGCUAGCCUCAGCCUAGCUUUAGCCUUGGUGCAAUAACCACUGACAUACAUGAAAAGAUUCACAUUAUGAAAUAGACUGAUGACAAAGGUAAUAAAACCAUUAUUACUUUAUGUAUUAUUGGCAUAUUCAAGGACUAAUUCCAUAUCAAUGAAAUCCGCUUUUUAUCUAUGCAACCCCAGCUAAGAAAAUGUAAACAUUUAAGUUAUGGUUGUGCUCACACCAACCUUCAGAAAUAUUAUUGGUAGUGUAGUUAUGGUAGGAACAUUUAGGAGAACAUAUUGGUUUUAAUUUUCCAUUGAAAAUUCAUCAUUUGGUGGUAAAUAACCCAAUUUUUUAUUACAUACAGCUGUUUGGAAUAAUUCAAUUACACAACACAGUAAUUAUGCCAAUAAUUGUUGUACAUUAUCGUAUUGUUAUAAGGGGUUUGUGAUUGGCAAUGAACUUAAAAUAGUGGAUUCCGUUUUAGGCAAUGUGUUUAGGAAACGCAUGAUUUAAAAUCGCCCUUGUUAUUUUGUUCAUUUUUAAUUUCUAAAGAUACAAUAAGUAAAACAGGAUUUGGUAUAACUUCAUCUUUACAUAACCAAAAGGAGCCUAUACACAGAUGGUUUUGUAAUCUAGCAGUCAUCUAACACUACAGAUAUGAGAUCAAUUCAUGAAAAUUUGCCAUGAUUUUUUUUUACCUUGUCUUGUCUUAAAGGUCGUCUUAUACAUGGAAAUAUAUGUUAUGAGGUUUUCCCUUGUUGAUGUAGUAUGUCCAUAAAAAAAAAACUAUAACCCUUAUAAAACAGUACUUGAGACUAUGUGCUGCAGCCCUUUGGUCCUUAGCUGUGUUGCUUUCUGCAUUUUACUCUACUUUUCCCAUAGCAGCAACAGCCAUCUGGUUUUCCUUUUUCCUUUGGUGUUCUGUUCUAUUAUUUGUUUUCUUGUUUCCUUUCAGUCUUGCUAGAUCAGACCAUAGGUGUCCUGUUUCAGUGCCCUUGUGAUAAUGACUAAAAAUUAAGUCUAUGGUACAUUGAACUUUGGUAGAAAGUUGCCAAAAAACUUUUCCAUAUUUAUUCAAUCUCUAGAACUGAUGCUUGUUACUCAUGAUUUAUAAAACCUCAAAAAGUUCAAAACAUGCACAAAUACUCUUACAUGUUCUGUAAAUGUUGAGGAUAAAUUUCUCUCCCUCUUCAUCAACAGGAAUAUUGACAUCUUAGAGCUUAAUGUAUUUGGAAAUAUUGGCUGAAAAUGCCAUAUUGCAAACUGUUAAGCUAAGCCAAUGUGUGCUAAAAAUAGCUGUACUUAAAAGGGUUAUUUACCAGAUGAUCUCAUUAAGCAGUACAGGCAGUCCCCGGGUUACGAUGGGGGUUCCGUUCUUGAGACGCGUCGUAAGCCGGAACGACACUUGGAAAUAUGCCUUAAACUAAUAAAAAGUUAAAGAGACCUUACCUGUGCAACAUGCAAGUAUUGCAUGAUGUGUAGUGUGGUUAUUUCAGUGCCAAAAGAUGGUUCUUGAAGGUAUAUAAUUUUUAUUAUACACUCGUGACACUAUAAAGCACAAUCUUGAAGUAUUACCAAGUCCUUAGUUGACUUUAAUAUACACUAAUAAUACACUACUAAUCCUUAGGUUAGAUUAUACACUAUACACUAUGAAUAUCUUGAAGGAUGGAAGUAUGUACUAUAUCCUUAGGUACACUAUGGAAGGUCUUGAAGUACUCUAUAAUCCUUUGGUAGUACAUCCUGGAGUACACUAAAAUCCCAGUCUGGUAGCUCUGGAAGGUAAAAGUAUAACACAAUUAGUACAAAAUACUACACAAAGUCUUGAAUGCAAUAUGUAAAUUAUAGAUAUCAAGAGUAAAAGAGUUAAUGUAUGUUAAUUAAUUCCUUACUUUUAGUUUAUAAUUCCUUACUUUGAGUUAUAUCAAGAGUAAAAGAGUUAACGUAUGUGAAUUAAUUCCUUACUUUUAGUUUAAAGUUGUCGUGCUAUGUAACCCUGGAUGGACAGAGUCUUAUGUGGCCCCAUAGCCUACAUCAUUCAGGGGGUUCUGGAAUGUACAAAAAAUAAUUGUCAUUAAGUACUCUAUGCAUAGUAAGUUACAUACAGUAAUAUGCACCAUACAGUGGUUUAAUAUCAACUGGUAUGCAUGUUGUAAAUGAUUGGUCUACACCCUCUGUUCAGCAGGGAGUGGAGAUUUUACCAACCUUGCAAUGUUACCAGUUACGUAUGUACUAUAAUUCCAUGAGGGACCUUGAUCACUUAUCCCAUGUGAGAGAUCUUGGUCACUUUUUUUUAGUAUAAAACUUACUUAAUGUAUGUUAAUUACUAUGUAUAAUUCCUUACCUUUAGUACUGUAGUAGUUUACAGUUGUCGUGCUAUGUAUGUAACCCUGGACAAAGUUUUAUGUGGCCCCAUAGCCUGCAUCAUGGAGGGGGUCCUGGGAUUCUGGAAUGUACCAAAAAAGUAUCAAAGUUAAGUCAUGUAUGUAUGUUUAGUAAGUUACAUACAGUAACCAUACGUACAGUGGUUUAUAACAUGUAUGUAAUCAAACUUGGUUGGAAAUUCCUGUAAAAAAAAGUUAUGUACGUAUGUAAUACUGUAUGUAAAAACCUUACUGUUCAUACUUUGUUACACUACAUGUUACAUUUGAUACGUAUACUUUCCUGAAGGGUUUUUUCCAUCCAAAAAUGGUGCUUCUACUUGUAGUUAUCCCUUGAUGACACUUGUAAUGUGUAGUAACAACCUGGAGUUGUGUGAAAAAUGUUGGCUCUGGAAGGAAAAAGUAACAAUUAGUGUACAAAAUGUACACUACAGAAAGUCGUGAAUGCAAUAUGUUAAUUACUGUAGAUAUAUCAAGAGUACUAAAAGAGUUAAUGUAUGUUAAUUAAUUCCUUACUUUUAGUUUAAAGUUGUCGUGCUAUGUAACCCUGGAUGGACAAAGUCUUAUGUGGCCCCAUAGCCUACAUCAUUCAGGGGGUUCUGGAAUGUACAAAAAAUAAUUUUGUCAGUAAGUCCUCUAUGCAGAGUAAGUUACAUACAGUAAUAUGCACCAUACAGUGGUUUAAUAUCACAUAUAACAUGUAGUAUAAAACUUAAUUUAGAAAUUCCUUACAUAACUUACCAACUUUUAGUGAGUCUCAAAGCUGUUACCUAGGUUGUGGGAGAUGGAGGUGGAGGUGUAGAGCAUUAUGAUAAGGAUGCAUUCCAAACCUAACUUCAGUGUGCUUUAUCACAGAUAACAGGCUAGGAUGAUGGGCAGUUUGGAAUGAAGAAUUAAUAUUAAAGGACAGUUUGUAACCACUUAGGUGUACAAAAUUUAUUGUACGUAUGCACACAUUAAAAACAACUGAGAAUUCCUUACCUUCAGCAAAAUGAAGACCUGUAGGCUAUGUAGAGGUCUGGUUUAUGUAAGUCACAGGUGCAUGCCAGUCUGGAAUGAUAAUGUACAUAUGAUUAUAGUAUGUAUGUUACAUACAUAACAUGGUUAUUACAUAUGUAAUAAUAAAACAUUAAUAAAUAAAAAAAAUGUCCUUACCAAAUUCUAGUGGUUGGCUUGCUUACUGGGAUGGGCAUAUGGUAGAUGAGUGGGUGGCUGGGCUAUGGAGUGGGAUGGGCAGGUGCUUGGGAGUCUGGAAUGAUAAAAAAUAUAUAAAAUGAUAGUUACUACUGUAACUACUGCACAUGUUAUUACUGUUUGACAUAUGUAGUGUGUAAUAUGUACAAUAUAAAAAAUUAAGAAUUCGUUUACCUGAAGGAGUUGGAAAGGUGAUACUACUCGUAUCAACUGAUUUGGGCUCUGAUAAGGGAACAUCUAGAUCUGGAAAGAAUGAUAGGGUACAUAAAUAUAAGGUGGAUGUAACUGUAGCAUAUGUACACUUUUAAUAAAAUUUCUAUUAGCAAUUUAUAAAACAUUUUAUACAAAUUUGUUAAGGAUUCCUAACCUGAUGAAUAGGGCGAGGCAUCAAAACCAUGGAAAGGCUCAGGGUCAUCUGGGUCGCUGUCACUAUCAAAGGUGUCUGAAAUGAAAAAAAAAAAAAGGUUAUGCAACAUCAAACACAUUAUACCACUAUGUAAGUUAGUGUACGUAUGUAUGCCAUAAUGUACUAGUAGGGUGUAAACAAUUUCCAACAUGAAAAUGAGAAAAAUGAAAUUGCUUACCUGAUUGUAGUAGUACACGUACAGGUGGACGGGCUGCUACAGAGGGUCCAGGUACAGGGGGAUCUGGAAAUGUCACAGGUAGUACAGGGAGAUCUGGAACUGUCGCAGGUAGUACAGGGGGAUCUGGAACUGUCACCACUUCUGCAAUAAAAUUACAAAUGAUGAAAAUUAAUGAAGUUACAAUUUACUCUUACAUUUAGUUGUUACAUUAAAAAAUUAACACAUUUUAUAUGUACACUAUGUAAACACAUAAAUUAGUAAAACAGUUCAGAAUUCCUUACCAGGACUAGAAGUGGGAGGUGGUGGUACUGGAGACUUGUGAAAGAAAGUGUCAAGCCUGGACUGCACACUUCUCUAAAGGCCUGUCCACACGACUGGGCCUGAUCGGCGUGCUCCAGGGUUGACGGGCAAAUUCUGGCGGACUUAUCCGUGAAUGUUGUCCACACGGGUGAGGCGAUGGAGAGGUGGGCGUGCCCGACGAUGCCAGUAGCGUGUUCAGUGCGGUACGAUAAACAUGGUGCCUACCGCAAAGAAGAAGAUAGUGUAGCAUGAUAAUUGCUUUGUGUGAUGAAAAAGAAGAGAAUAUGGUGCAAAGAAUGGCUCGGUAAAAGAAAUGUAUAUGGUUAACGUACGUCUGCCAGGGUCGAAGCUCAAGCCAUCGGGCACCACCAUGGUGAUUUUGCUACAAGACCCAUCGGGCAAUUUGACGGUUUGCUAGUCAAGUGUGCCCGUUUGUGGGGAAGUCCGCCGAUCAGGUCCGAUUGUGUGGACAGGCCUUUAGUCUGCUUCUCCUUCAGGGUCUCCUUGUAGAAAGUUACUAAGUCUAACAUUCCACGUUUUAUUUUGUCAAACCUGGCAACGUUAGGGUCUUCUGCCUCAAAAGAAGCCAAGGCUCUCUCCAGAUGAGUAAAACCCUCUGACAAGCCUUUCACAGUUAAUGACCUGGCUUUUGGCUCUGGUGCCGCCUCCUCUUCCUCAAUCAUUUGCUGUUCAAGUUCAAGCAAGUCCUCUGCUGACAAUUCCUCUCCAUGGGAUGCCAGCAGCUCUGUUACAUCAUCAGGUUCAAGAUCUAGUUUCAGCCUCUUGCUUAGCUCUACGACCUUCCUCGUCACAGUCUCGACGUCUUCUGCCUGGUCAAAGCCUUCAAAACUGUGCACAAACUGUGGACACAGUUUCUUCCAGGCCCCAUUAAAAGUGGUCGUCUUCACCUCGUCCCAAGCACUUGCAAUGUUCUUCACUGCAUCAGCAAUGUUGUAGCCCUUCCGGAAUUGCUUCAGUGUCAACUCCUUGUUAGCUUGUAUGGCCCUCAAAGCAAAACGUAUGGUCCUUCUAAGGUAGUAAGCCUUGAAAUUAGCUAUUACUCCCUGGUCCAUUGGCUGUAUCAGCGAUGUGGUAUUGGGUGGGAGGUACACCACCUUCACAAUAGGGUGCAUGUCGCUCAAAUUUGAAGGGUGACCAGGGGCAUUGUCCAGGACUAAGAGGGCCUUAAAAGGCAGACCCUUCGAAGUCAAAUACCGUUCCACUGCUGGCACGAAAUGGUCAUUGAACCAAUCUUCGAAGACCAUCAAGGUAACCCAAGCCUUCUUAUUUGAUUUCCAAAUCACAGGGAGUUGACUCUUGAAAAUGGCCUUGAAAGCCCUGGGAUUCUCGGCCAAAUACACCAGCAAGGGCUGCAGUUUCAAAUCGCCACUUGCAUUGGCCCCAAACAGCAAAGUCAGUCGCUCCUUUCCAGCUUUAUGGCCAGGUGCUGACUUCUCCUCCUGGGACAGGUACGUUCGAUUUGGCAUUCUUUUCCAAAAUAAACCAGUCUCAUCCACAUUAAAGACUUGGUCAGCCGUGUAGCCACCAUCCUUAAUUAUCUCGGCCAAACCACCUGGAAAACUACCUGCUGCUUCGCUAUCAGCACUAGCAGCUUCACCUUGCAGCUUCACAUUAUGCAAAUUUGCACGAGCCUUAAAAACGGUUAAACCAACCUCUACUCGCGGAAAAUUCACCACCAGCACUGCCUUCGCCAAACUUUUUCACUCCUGCCUCAUGCAGUGCUCUAGCCUUCUCCUGGAUCACACUUAAGCUCACCGGAACACAUCACUGGUUCUGGUCCUCCAGCCAGAUCGUCAGGAGCUUCUCCAUUUCAACAAUGCUCUGGCUACGUUGCUUCUCGUUUAUCACCGUUGACUUCAUCGGUGCAGCAUCCUUAACGUGCUUCAGAAUACGUUCCUUGUCUUUCACAAUGGUUACCACCGUCGUCCUGCUCAAGCCUAAAGCACGACCUAUUUCGGUGUUAGUUUCUCCCUUUUCCGAAUGCUUCACCAAGUCAUAUUUUACCUCCAUCGGGAUGACCUUCCUCUUCUUGGAUGAACUAUCAUCGGAGGAAGUACUUUGGCGUUUAGGAGCCAUUGUAAAUUCGCGAAAAUGGCAAGGAAAAUCAGCAACGUCUUAGCACACAACCGACUGAACUUCAGGCAGGCAUUCGAUUGAAGUGGCGUCCUUUGGUAUUGUUAUGCUUAGCGUCCUCGACCGUUCGAGGUCGUCGUUCGGUCAAUUUACCAUACAGUUUAAUAGCGUAAAUUAAUUUAUGUGCCUCCACUCAAAAACUAGUUAUGCGUAUGAGGUAUCGUUAAAAAGCAUAACAAAACGUCGUAACCUUAGAAUUUGUGUUGUAAUCUAACCAGAAACUUAGUUUUUUUAAUUAUGUACUGGAAACAAGCAAUGAUUUUUUCAUUAUUUGCGCUUUUGGACUGUUUUAAACUGCGCAUCCCAAGCUAGUGUAUUCAUUCGCUCGGAAACUAGUUCCGCAUAUGCGGCGUCACUAAAAAAAUUAAAAAAAAAAAAAAAAAAAAAAGUUGAAAAUCAUCAUAACCUCAAAACUUUUGUUGUAAUGUAACCAAAAACAUAUUUUUAUUAUAUACUGUGCUAAACUAUAAAGGAUUUUUAUCAUAGCAUGCGUUUUUUAAAAGCGUCGUUAACUCAAGAGCGUCAGCGUCGUAACCUCGGAACAAGCGUCGUAACCCAGGACGGAUUUUUCCAUUGAAUAUUUAAGAAAAAGCGUCAUAACCUCGGAACGUCGUAAGCCGGGGACCGCCUGUACUCUAAAUUUGUUCAUUAUCAUAGUUAAUAGAAAAUUGUAUGCAAAUGGUGUAGUUAUACCAAUGUCAAUUUUAAAACCUUAAAAUUACAGUAUUUGAAUUUUAACUAAUUCCAGUGCAUUACUUGAUCUGUCUCAUAUUGAAAACAAGUUCAUGUGUAAAAUCAACAUUUAUAUUUGUAAUAAUUUGCUUCCAGUUACCUGCAAACUUAACAUCCACUUUUUAUACAGUAAUUUGUGCCAGUUUAGAAUCAAUUUUCGGUGCUUGUUUCGUACUUCAGUUUUUCUACUCUGAAAACCGUUUCAAGUGAAAAAUCAUUGUGUUUCUCAAAUUCUUUCAUCUUGAACUUGGUGGCAAAUUCAAUCUACAGUACAAGGAAAUCCUUGGCAAAUUCAAUCUACAGUAUAAGGAAAUCCUUUUUAAAAGUUACCGAACCAACAUUGUCAAAUAGGUAUUUGUGAUUGGUGAUGAGAUGUAAUUUCAGAUCUCCCAUUUUCCCAUCAAAAGUAACUUCAUUCAAGGAUAGAAAGUCAUAUAAGCUUAAGUGUCCACUUUUAAUAUUUACAGUAAAAGUGUUGCUCAUUUACGUUCGCAGAUAAUUUUAUUUCACUUAAUUGGUCAAGAUCUUAACACCACAAAGUUUAUUUGUCAAGUUAGUUAUUCGGAUGUGAAAAUUUAGGAUUUAAACUGAUGCAUGGUGAUAGUGUAAAGUGCCCAGAUCAUUACUGUAGCACAGCCAUAAAAGAAAACUGUGGAAAAGUGCUGUUUAAGUAGAUGUAAACAUGAGACUUCAGACAUAGGACCAUUUCCAUGUCAGUCAUUUUUAAACCUCUUCAAAAAGGCACCAUUUUUGGCAAAACAUUUUUUUCUCCAAACAUUGACAAUUUCAGUAAAGCUAAAGCUGGUAAAGAACAUCCAUAAAAGAGACCGUACAAGUUUAUGUUUUGACAAACCUAGACUAGUAGUGUUGUUUAGACAAGUAAUUUUGCUAAAGUAUUCCAAAUGACUGUGAAGAUAGUUUUAAAUUUGGUAUGAUUUUCAAAGUGGUUAGUUGUUCUCUUAAUAAGAAAAAAAAAAGUAAUUUUGACAGAUUUGCACAGCGUAAUUUUACAUGGUCUUUGUUGAAUGUAAAAUUUUUCAGUUUAAUGUAAUUUUGUUACUUUUAUCAAUAGGUAAAUGCACAUGACUUAAUGAGUUAACACAGAUAUUUUUAAUGUACUACUAAGUGCAUGUGUUCAGGUUAGAAAGGCACUACCUUGGUUUGUGUACUUGAACAAUUUUGGUGUUUUCAUAAGAAUGUGCUUUGUUGAUACUGGUAUAAAUCCCUUCCUUUGUGUACAUAAGAUGAGUGAUAUCUCGGAACUGUAAGUUACUAUAAUCCUCAGAUGUAAUUUAAGUUGCCCUCGGUACAACUUUAUACAUUACAGCAAUGUGCUUUGUAAUGGGGGAAAUUUUUUUUUUUAUGUACACUUAGUGUACAAACAUUAUAUAGACUGUAUUUACUAUGCCAUAAUUAUAUUUGACUUACUGUAAUCAUGCAGAACUGCAGCACCAAAACAAACCUCAACUUGAUUCUCUUCUUCCUUUAUUUAGUCUCUAUGUACGUAGUAACAUUUUGGACAAUCUGUGUAUCUUCAGGCUCUGUGAAAGUUAAAAACCAAUACAUUUAUACCAAAUGUGUAACUUUAAAUUAUAUUUAAUGAGCAUAAAAAAAUUUAUUAAACUAAAUUAAAAUAGUACUUAAUUGCCGAGGGCAGAGUUAUUUAAAGCUUGGUUUCAGUUUUUUUCUCUAAAAAGUCUUGCCAGUUUGAGUCGGAGCUUUUCAUAAAAUACUAAAAUCAGAAAGCUUAAAGUUAUGUUAAGUCGUGACUGAAAUGGCUUGCCUAUGGGUAAAGACACUAAUUUUAAUUUCUAGUAUUAUUUUAUGUAAUUGGUUUGACACUGAGAUUUAGACUGUAACCUUAUUCUAUAGAGAAACUGAAACCAAGCUUAAAUAUGGAUAACCCUCCCUUCAGCAGGCUAGUAUUUUUGUUUAGUUUAAAUUUUUAUCAUUUUCAGCAUGUUACAUAUCACUACAUGUUUGCUUGGUGUAAAUGUAUUGGUUAAUUUAUACAAUAAGCUUAAGAUGGACUGUUGUACAAUAAGCUUAAGAUGGACUGUUGUAAUUGUCCAAAACAUUGUCUCACACACUGAAUAAAGGAGAGGAGAGAACGUUGAAGCUUGUUUUGCAUUGUAGUUCCUCACGUGAUUAAGGUCUCUCUCAUCUAAGUACAUUAUUACUACAUUACAAUUCUUUGUAUCAAAAAAUCUUUUAAUGUUACUCUGUUCAGGUAAAUGUGAUUCAACAAAGGUCAAUAAAAUCAAAAUUAUCAA